rnacentral:rRNA from 1 species
AUUGAACGCUGGCGGCAGGCCUAACACAUGCAAGUCGAGCGGAAGAAGGGAGCUUGCUCCUGGAUUCAGCGGGGGACGGGUGAGUAAUGCCUAGGAAUCUGCCUGGUAGGGGGGGAGAACGACCGGAAACGGGCGCUAAUACCGCAGACGUCCUGAGGGAGAAAGUGGGGGAGCUUCGGACCGCACGCUAUCAGAUGAGCCUAGGUCGGAUUAGCUAGUUGGUGGGGUAAAGGCCUACUAAGGCGACGAUCCGUAACUGGUCUGUGAGGCUGGUCAGUCACCCUGGAGCUGGGCCACCGUCCAGACUCCUGAGAUACGCCGCAGUGGGGAAUGUUGGACAGUGGGCGAGAGCCUGAUCCAGCCGUGCCGCGUGUGUGACGAAGGUCUUCGGAUUGUAAAGACCUUUAAGUUGGGAGGAAGCGCAUUCAGUUAAUACCUUGCUGUUUUGACGUUACUAACAGAAUAAGCACCGGCUAACUUCGUG